rnacentral:rRNA from 1 species
ACCUAAAGUWGUUNNUUACCNACCWCUAAUCAACCCCCACCCCUGCUUUAGAGCAAUUCAAAUGAGGUACAGCCCAUUUGACAMAGGAUACNACCUUCACUUACGGGUANAAACCCAACUCGCACCUUAAAGUAGGCCUAAAAGCAGCCACCUUUUAAAAAGCGUCAAAGCUUAGNNNCCCCUGGCGGUAUUAAUUCAAAAACCCAUAUUAACCCCUUCAACUGUACUGAGAACUUCUAUAACCCUAUAGAACCUUUUAUGCUAAAACUAGUAACAAGAGAAAACCNNNCUCUCAUAAUGCAAACAUAAGCCAGCAAGAACCCAUCACUGGCAAUUAACAGNCCCUAACCAAAAGCAGCAACCUCACUAGAAAACCCUACUUCCACCAACUGUUAACCUAACACCAGAGCAUUUCAAGAAAGAUUAAAAGAAAAAGAAGGAACUCGGCAAAUCCAAGUCCCGCCUGUUUACCAAAAACAUCGCCUCCUGCUUNCCCAUAGGAGGUCCAACCUGCCCAGUGACCCUGUUCAACGGCCGCGGUAUCCUAACCGUGCAAAGGUAGCGUAAUCACUUGUUUUCUAAAUAAAGACCUGUAUGAAAGGUUUAACGAGGACUAAACUGUCUCCUUUUUCCAAUCAGUAAACCUAAUCUCCCCGUGAAAAAGCGGGAAUUCCCAUAUA